rnacentral:rRNA from 1 species
UAGGGAAUAUUGGACAAUGGGCGAAAGCCUGAUCCAGCCAUGCCGCGUGAGUGAUGAAGGCCUUAGGGUUGUAAAGCUCUUUCGCCAGGGACGAUAAUGACGGUACCUGGAUAAGAAGCCCCGCCUGACUUCAGUUGCCAGCCAGCCGCCGGGUAAAUACGAAGGGGCGUAGCGUUGUUCGGAAUUACUGGGCGUAAAGCGUAUGCAGGCGGAUCGCUAAGUCAGGGGUGAAAUCCCGAGGCUCAACCUCGGAACUGCCUUUGAUACUGACGAUCUUGAGUCCGGGAGAGGUGAGUGGAACUGCGAGUGUAGAGGUGAAAUUCGUAGAUAUUUCGCAAGAACACCAGUGGCGAAGGCGGCUCACUGGCCCGGUACUGACGCUGAGAUACGAAAGCGUGGGGAGCAAAAACA